UUUGUGUAUACGGCCAUCAAUUUGCAAAGUGGAAAAAGUGAAGUGAAUUGAAAAGUUGUCCAAGCAGAAAGUAGAACAGAAUUAUGUCGGACUUCAGAUCCCAAUCUCGUAGCGGUGGAGGACGUGGCGGCCGCGAGGAGUUUUCCAACGACGACGACCCGCCGAUGUCGCGGCUGUUCAUCAUUUGCAACAAGGCCCACUCGGAGGAGGACUUCCGCGAGGCAUUUUCGCCUUACGGCGAUAUCGAGGACAUUUGGGUGGUAAAGGACAAGCACACCCAGGAGAACAAGGGAAUCGCCUACGUCAAGUUCUCCAAGACCUCUGAUGCGGCCAAGGCGCAGGAGGAGAUGAACGGCAAGACCAUCGGCAACUUGGACCGCACCCUGAAAGUCCUCGUGGCAGCCAACCGCAAUCAGGGCUCGAAUAAGUCCGAAAACGAGCAGGAAAAGUAUGUAAGACUGUUCAUAGUGAUCCCCAAAACGGCCACCGAGGAGGACAUCCGCGAAGAGUUCUCCCAAUGGGGCGAGGUGGAACACGUCACAAUUGUCAAGGAGAAGAAUAAUGGCAGUCCCAAGGGUUUCGGCUACGUCCGCUUCACCAAGUUCUACCAUGCAGCUGUGGCCUUUGAGAACUGCUCGGCCAAGUACAAGGCAGUGUUUGCCGAACCGAAGGGAUCUACUCGCUCACAGAAAGACCAGUACGGUCGUCUCUCCGAGGAUAAUCCCUUGUUCAAUGGGUCGGGACGUGGCAAUUCCAAUUUCAAUGGCGGAGGAAAUAACAGGGAUGGCGGCAACAACGGAAGCUACAACAACGACUGGAAUGUGUCGCAGAACAACGACAUGUCGGCCUUUCUACGCAUGCAGAACGCCCCAGUAGCCCAGCCCUCGUGCCUCGAGGUGAACGUCAGCAAUUGCGUCAACCAGGAUCAGCUCUGGCGACUCUUCGAUAUCAUUCCCGGUCUAGAUUACUGCCAAGUCAUGCGGGAAAGUGGACCGCGCACCAAUGAAGUCUUAGUAGUGUACGACAACCCAGAAGCUGCUAUUUAUGCCAAGGAUAAACUUCAUGGUCUAGAAUAUCCCGUGGGCGAACGCAUCAUUGUCAAAGUGAAUGGAAUGAGCUCGGCUCGAAUGGACACAUCCUUUAUAGACAAGCGCACCAAAAAGGAUGCCAUCUGCAAUGUGCCCUUGCCCCCAACUCAGCCACUGGCCUCGCCCGACGCCCAGGUGGCCCAGCGUCUGUUCAUUGUGCUCUCAGCGAAUUUACCGCAUUCGAUCUUGAAAAACAUAUUCUCCUGCUGGUCGGGACUGAUCGACGUCUAUCUACUGCCGAACAAGAACUGCGGCUACGUCAAGUUUGCGGAGACUGAGAGUGCACAGUUGGCAAUUGACACUCUAAACGGCGCCGAAAUAUGCGGCACUAAAAUUAAGGUCAUGGAGGCGGAGGAGCGCAAUGGAUCCGAUGGCGAUGACGGUGGGCGCAAACGCCUAAGGCGUAACUGAGUGUAAGUAGCUAGUUGAGAAAGCAUAAUUCCCGUAUCUAUAUGUAGCCAUAUUUGGAAUGAGUGUGUGCCGUAGUGCAAGACUUACUGACAACCAAGAACUUACAGAGAACGCAAUGUACGAGUACGUAACUAACUUGAGAAUACAGUCCGAUAAAAAACAGUUGAACUGACCACCACGCAACAACCAACCAACCAAUAACCAAACAACAAGAACAGCAACAACCACCAACACAUCAACACUCUCUAAACGGAAUGUCACAAGAACCACGAAGACAGGAGAACACAGACCGGAAACGGAAACGGCGAACUGAGAACGGAGACGGGUGAACAUACAGCCAACGAAUUCACUGCACCCAUUGACUAUUAUUGACUAACUCAAGGGGCUCUCGUACAGAGCACUUUUAGAAAGACUCUUUCGACCCUUAAACGGAUCCAACGAAACCGCAAUGCUUGCUAUAUCAUAUAUACAAAGUGUCGUAUAUAUGUGUAAACAUACCGCUUGGGGGACUUUUGAAUCUACCCGUAAUACAGAAAAUAACUGUAUAACAUAAACUAUUAAUAACGUAUUCCGACGAGAUACAGAAAACCGAUGAAUUCGAAUAUAUUGAAUUUCCCAAGAAUAUUGACUCUGUCUCGUAAACUCACGAUUUAGCCGUGCGUAAAAUACAUUUCAUUUCAUAUA